rnacentral:rRNA from 1 species
AUUGAACGCUGGCGGCAGGCCUAACACAUGCAAGUCGAGCGAGCGGCGGGCGGGUGAGUUAUGUAUGGGGCCUGCCCGAUAGAGGGGGAUCACUACUGGAAACGGUCGCUAAUCCCGCAUUCUACCGGAUAACCCAUAUGGGAUGAGCUAGUAGGUGGGGUAAGGGCUCACCUAGGCCACGAUCUCUAGCUGGUUUGAGAGGAUGAUCAGCCACACGGGAACGUAGACACGGCCCAGACUCCUACGGAGGCAGCAGUGGGGAAUAUUGCACAAGGGGCGCAAGCCUGAUGCAGCCAGGCCGCGUGUAUGAAGAAGGCCUUAGGGUUGUAAAGUACGUUCAGCGGGGAGGCGUUACCCGCAGAAGAAGCACCGGCUAACUCCGUGCCAGCAGCCGCGGUAAUAC